GCUGGUGUGGCGGAGUGGCCCAACGCGUCAGGCCCAGAUCCUGAUUCCCGGAGCGGGUGAUCGCUCGUUCGAACCGAGCCACCAGCA
rnacentral:tRNA from 1 species